rnacentral:ncRNA from 2 species
ACAGGCAAAUCUGGAGAGCGCCGGCUAGACCGGCCACCGAAGGGGCACGCGACGCAAGUUGCAAUCUCUCAGGUAUCGAGGACAGAUGGGGCGAA